AACGAACGCUGGCGGCAGGCUUAACACAUGCAAGUCGAACGCUCGUAGCAAUACGGGAGUGGCGGACGGGUGAGUAACGCGUGGGAACGUGCCCUGAGGUACGGAAUAACUGCGGGAAACUGCAGCUAAUACCGUAUGAGCCCCGCAAGGGGGAAAGGAUUUAUCGCCUUGGGAGCGGCCCGCGUCGGAUUAGCUAGUUGGUGGGGUAACGGGCCUACCAAGGCUUCGAUCCGUAGCUGGUCUGAGAGGACGAUCAGCCACACUGGGACUGAGACACGGCCCAGACUCCUACGGGAGGCAGCAGUGGGGAAUCUUGCGCAAUGGGGGCGAACCCUGACGCAGCCAUGCCGCGUGAAUGAUGAAGGCCUUAGGGUUGUAAAGUUCUUUUGCCCGUGACGAUGAUGACGGUAACGGGAGAAUAAGCUCCGGCUAACUUCGUG
rnacentral:rRNA from 1 species